rnacentral:rRNA from 1 species
AUACGUAGGGGGCGAGCGUUGUCCGGAAUGAUUGGGCGUAAAGGGCGCGUAGGCGGCCCGGUAAGUCUGGAGUGAAAGUCCUGUUUUUAAGAUGGGAAUUGCUUUGGAUACUGUCGGGCUUGAGUGCAGGAGAGGUAAGUGGAAUUCCCAGUGUAGCGGUGAAAUGCGUAGAGAUUGGGAGGAACACCAGUGGCGAAGGCGACUUACUAGACUGUAACUGACGCUGAGGCGCGAAAGUGUGGGGAGCAAACAGGAUUAGAUACCCUGGUAGUCCACACUGUAAACGAUGAAUGCUAGGUGUAGGGGGUAUCGACCCCUUCUGUGCCGCAGUCAACACAAUAAGCAUUCCGCCUGGGGAGUACGGCCGCAAGGUUGAAACUCAAAGGAAUUGACGGGG